rnacentral:rRNA from 1 species
UUGUAUAGGUUAAGUUAAUAAGGGCGCGUGGUGAAUGCCUUGGCACUAGGAGCCGAUGAAGGACGUGACUAACUACGAUAAGCUUUGGUGAGCGGUAAGUACGCUAUGACCCAAAGAUUUCCGAAUGGGGAAACCCAACUCGUAAGAGUUGUCUGUAUCUGAAUACAUAGGAUAUUUGACGGAAUACGCUGUGAACUGAAACAUCUCAUUAGCAGCAGGAGCAGAAAGAAAAAUCGAUUCCCUAAGUAGCGGCGAGCGAACGGGGAAGAGCCCAAACCAACGUGCUUGCAUGUUGGGGUUGUAGGACUGAUAUAUAAGAGUUACAAAAGUGUUUUAUAGCAGAACAAGUUGGGAAACUUGGCUAUAGAGGGUGAUAGCCGCGAAUAGUACGAUGCUGUAGACCCGAAACCAAGUGACCUACCCAUGGUCAGGAUGAAGGUGAGGUAAAACUUACUGGAGGUCCGAACCGGUGCAUGUUAAAAAAUGCUCGGAUGAACUGUGGGUAGCGGUGAAAUUCAAAACGAACUUGGAGAUAGCUGGUUCUCUCCGAAAUAGCUUUAGGGCUAGCCUCAUUAUAAGCAUACUGGAGGUAGAGCACUGUUAAGCCUAGGGGCCCAUCUCGGGUUACCAAAGUUUGAUAAACUCCGAAUGCCAGAUAUGUAUGAAUGGGAGGCAGACGAUGAGUGAUAAGAUCCACCGUCGAAAGGGGAACAGCCCAGAUCGCCAGUUAAGGUCCCUAAAUAUAUGUUAAGUGGAAAACGAUGUGAUAGUGCAUAGACAACUAGGAUGUUGGCUUAGAAGCAGCCACCAUUUAAAGAGUGCGUAAUAGCUCACUAGUCGAGUGCCAUUGCGCGGAAAAUGUAC